ACCUGGCUGGCUCAGUCAGUUGUGCGCCCGACUUUGGCUCGGGUCAUGAUGUUUGUGGGUUCGAGCCCUACAUCAGGUU
rnacentral:tRNA from 1 species